UCGAGGAUCUUCGGCAAUGGGCGCAAGCCUGACCGAGCGACGCCGCGUGGACGAUGAAGGCCUUCGGGUUGUAAAGUCCUGUCGAGGGGGAGGAAAGCCGAAAGGUUUGACCUAUCCCUGGAGGAAGCACGGGCUAAGUUCGUGCCAGCAGCCGCGGUAAGACGAACCGUGCGAACGUUGUUCGGAAUCACUGGGCUUAAAGGGCGCGUAGGCGGCUUGCCAAGUCAGUGGUGAAAUCCUGCAGCUUAACUGUAGAAGUGCCUUUGAUACUGGCUAGCUCGAGGGAGGUAGGGGUCUGUGGAACUUCUGGUGGAGCGGUGAAAUGCGUUGAUAUCAGAAGGAACGCCGGUGGCGAAAGCGACGGACUGGACCUCUUCUGACGCUGAGGCGCGAAAGCUAGGGGAGCAAACGGGAUUAGAUACCCCCGUAGUCC
rnacentral:rRNA from 1 species